rnacentral:misc_RNA from 1 species
AAGUCGUAACAAGGUUUCCGUAGGUGAACCUGCGGAAGGAUCAUUAACACUUUUUCCAAAACUCCUUUACUCUUUUUGGUGCUUAAAAAAACCAAAAAAGAUUUAGGUUUUAACCCCAAUUUAUUGCGAACGAUGAUUUUCCAAAAUCAUUCUUCUCUUCUUUAUCCUCUUUUUUUAUUUUUACCCCAAUUUUUUACAAAAAUCCAAAGCCUGAUAUAAAAUCGUCUUUCUCUUUUUUUUUCAAAAGAGACCGACGACCGAAACCUAAUGGUUAAAACAACUCUUAGCAACGGAUAUCUUGGCUCUC